UUGGAGGGCAAGUCUGGUGCCAGCAGCCGCGGUAAUUCCAGCUCCAAUAGCGUAUAUUAAAGUUGUUGCAGUUAAAAAGCUCGUAGUUGAAUUUCGGGGUUAGUAGGUUGGUCAUGCCACUGGUAUGUACUGGUCUCACUGAUUCCUCCUUCCUGAUGAGCCGUAAUGCCAUUAAUUUGGUGUUGCGAGGAAUCUGGACUGUUACUUUGAAGAAAUUAGAGUGUUUAAAGCAAGCUAACGCUUGAAUACAUUAGCGUGGAAUAAUGAAAUAGGACGUUCGAUCCUAUUUUGUUGGUUUCUAGGAUUGACGUAAUGAUUAAUAGGGAUAGUUGGGGGCAUUAGUAUUCAAUUGUCAGAGGUGAAAUUCUUGGAUUUAUUGAAGACUAACUACUGCGAAAGCAUUUGCCAAGGAUGUUUUCAUUAAUCAAGAACGAAAGUUAGGGGAUCGAGGACGAUCAGAUACCGUCGUAGUCUUAACCAUAAACUAUGCCGACUAGGGAUCGGAUGAUGUUAUUUUUAAUGACUCAUUCGGCGCCUUACGGGAAACCAAAGUGUUUGGGUUC
rnacentral:rRNA from 1 species